CCUUAGAGUUUGAUCCUGGCUCAGGAUGAACGCUAGCGAUAGGCUUAACACAUGCAAGUCGAGGGGCAGCACGGAAUAGCAAUAUUUUGGUGGCGACCGGCGCACGGGUGAGUAACACGUAUGCAACCUACCCAUGACAGUGGAAUAACCCGUCGAAAGGCGGACUAAUACCGCAUAAUAAAGAGUGCUCGCAUGGGUACUUUUUCAAAGAUUUAUCGGUCAUGGAUGGGCAUGCGUUCCAUUAGGUAGUUGGCGGGGCAACGGCCCACCAAGCCUGCGAUGGAUAGGGGUUCUGAGAGGAAGGUCCCCCACACUGGUACUGAGACACGGACCGGACUCCUACGGGAGGCAGCAGUGAGGAAUAUUGGUCAAUGGGCGAGAGCCUGAACCAGCCAAAUCGCGUGAAGGAUGAAGGUAUUAUGUAUUGUAAACUUCUUUUACAGGGGAAUAAAGUGCGGGACGUGUCCCGUUUUGUAUGUACCCUGAGAAUAAGGAUCGGCUAACUCCGUGCCAGCAGCCGCGGUAAUACGGAGGAUCCAAGCGUUAUCCGGAUUUAUUGGGUUUAAAGGGUGCGUAGGCGGGGAAUCAAGUCAGCGGUGAAAGUUUGCGGCUCAACCGUAAAAUUGCCGUUGAAACUGGUUCUCUUGAGUGUAGAUGAGGUGGGUGGAAUUCGUGGUGUAGCGGUGAAAUGCUUAGAUAUCACGAAGAACUCCAAUUGCGUAGGCAGCUCACUGGGCUACAACUGACGCUGAGGCACGAAGGUGCGGGGAUCAAACAGGAUUAGAUACCCUGGUAGUCCACGCCGUAAACGA
rnacentral:rRNA from 1 species